GUGGGGAAUCUUCCGCAAUGGACGAAAGUCUGACGGAGCAACGCCGCGUGAGUGAAGAAGGUUUUCGGAUCGUAAAGCUCUUUCGUUAGGGACGAACGUGCUCUUUGUGAAUAAUGAGGAGUAAUGACGGUACCUAAAUAAGAAGCCACGGCUAACUACGUGCCAGCAGCCGCGGUAAUACGUAGGUGGCAAGCGUUGUCCGGAAUUAUUGGGCGUAAAGCGCGCGCAGGCGGGAUAUCAAGUCUGUCGUAAAAGUGCGAGGCUCAACCUCGUGAGGGGACAGAAACUGGUAUUCUUGAGUGUAGGAGAGGAAAGUGGAAUUCCAAGUGUAGCGGUGAAAUGCGUAGAGAUUUGGAAGAACACCAGUGGCGAAGGCGACUUUCUGGACGAUGUCUGACGCUGAGGCGCGAAAGCUAGGGGAGCGAACGGGAUUAGAUACCCCAGUAGUCC
rnacentral:rRNA from 1 species